rnacentral:rRNA from 1 species
CCUACGGGGGGCAGCAGUGGGGAAUAUUGGACAAUGGGGGGAACCCUGAUCCAGCCAUGCCGCGUGUGUGAAGAAGGCCCUCGGGUUGUAAAGCACUUUCAGUGAGGAAGAACGCCUGGUGGUUAAUACCCAUCAGGAAAGACAUCACUCACAGAAGAAGCACCGGCUAACUCCGUGCCAGCAGCCGCGGUAAUGCGGAGGGUGCGAGCGUUAAUCGGAAUUACUGGGCGUAAAGCGCGCGUAGGUGGCUUGAUAAGCCGGUUGUGAAAGCCCCGGGCUCAACCUGGGAACGGCAUCCGGAACUGUCAAGCUAGAGUGCAGGAGAGGAAGGUAGAAUUCCCGGUGUAGCGGUGAAAUGCGUAGAGAUCGGGAGGAAUACCAGUGGCGAAGGCGGCCUUCUGGACUGACACUGACACUGAGGUGCGAAAGCGUGGGUAGCAAACAGGAUUAGAUACCCGUGUAGUC